AGUUUCUAACUGUCUCCCAUCCAGAACACCAAGGAAGCCACAUCAUAGCGACACUAAGUGACCUGGGGAGGGUCAGGACUGCUGGAGAACGGAAAGGAGACGAAACCACAGGACCUUGUUUUUUCCAAUGCACGCAAUGGAAAGGCAUCUUCCUGAUGGGGAGCCCAUCCAGCCUACCACAUCUUCCUCCCUUGCUCUGCCAUCAAACACUCUUGGGUUAGAAAAUCAUCUCGCCACUCAGCACCUAAGGUUAUUAAGUUUUUACACAAAGAUGUGUGGGAAAUCUACAAUUUAACCGUUGAGUCAACUUACAAAAUCUGGGAACAAGCUGCCUGUCAAAACAGCCUCUGACUACAAUCUUCACCCACUUCUAACCUGAGAAGGAUAAACUGUGAGUUUUACCUAAAAUACUGCUGGAUUUUUCCUUUCGGAAUUAUUCAGAGGGGGAAAAUACCCAAAUCUCUCUCCUAUUAAUUAUAACAGAAAUACGAAUUGCCACCCAAAAGCAUUUUAGAAUGUGGUUUUGUGUGUCAUUAAAUAAAAUGAGGAGCAGAAGUUGAGAGCUUUUGUUUUGAAGUCUGUAUACAGUAUUCCAACUACCCAAGCAAAGAGCAGCCAGUGUCCUCAAACUGCUGUUGGGUGAAGGCAGAUGGCGUCUCGAAGGGGACAGAAAACUCUCCCAAAGAAAACGUCUGUCACUUCCCCAACAAUACAGGUUAACUGCGGUAAAACAGUAUUCACUCAACUCCACUCACCAAGGUCAGAAACAUGGUCAAACAACUACCCCCUCUCCCUGCCCCCCAGUUAUGAGUUAUGGGGAAAAAGCAAUUUAAAGAGCAGAUAUUAAAGUGUUCAAGAUACUGUUAUAUUCC